CCGUUUGCGGCCGCAAGCACUAUCUGGUCCGUUCAUCGGCGCUUUAUUAUUCGCGCUGGCCAACACUGCUUCGAUUCCGAACUCUGAUUCAUGGGUUCGCACCGUACCUUUAUUCCAUUCUCUCUCUAUUUCCAUUCCGGCUUCCUCUUUAGCUGCUUCUCCCCCAACACUUCCCCUGAUCCCCUCUUACGCUCGAGUUGCUUCUUCCAGAACCUCUCCAUUCUCGAGUUGCUUCUCUCAUCUGUCCUCUUGAGUUUGGAUCCGAGGCAGCAGCGAGGACACGCAUCUUCUCGCUCGUCUUUCUUUUCGUUCUUUGCUGCCCUUCUCGCAGAUCUGGCUAACUUUUCCGUCAACGCAUUUUGUUGUUUAACCCAUUUCCGGCCCUCGAAUCUUGCUACCUUCCCCCUCCUUAACGCAGAAUGGAUAGUUCCGCCAUUGCACAGGUCCUCGUUCUUACCCGAUGCUUCGCAAAUCCUUGUCCUUCAGGCUUCAGUGCGCUUGUGGCCGAGCUGCUUUCAAUCGUAAAUCCGGCAUAGAGCGGAACCCAUGCCGUAGGUUCUAUACCUGCUCGAUCUGUAAUAUGUUCAUCUGGGAGGAUAUACUGAACAAGUAGGUUGAAGAUAUGGUUUUUUAUUGUCACUACUAUCGAUGCUCUGCAGGUUGAUCUGGAUACUGCUCGCCACAUGCUUAGGCAAAAGAAUAUGCAGAUUCAUGCUUUGGAGCAGGAAUUGGGCAACUGUUUCGUGGAUGCUCCUCUCGUUGUUGAAGCCUUGGAACGAACCUAGGAAGUGGAGAUUUGGUUACUUGAAGUUUAGUAUUUUUUCCCGUUAUUAGCUGUUUUUUAAGCUUUACCUGACCGCAUGAAUUGCCUCAAAGCUAGUUCAGCAGCGCUUGUUGAUAUUUAAUAUCUUCAGUUUCAGUGCGACAACCUUAUUUGUUUUUUUUGUUUUUUUGUUUUUUGCUUCUUAGCUUUACUAGAGGUGGUACUGGUAUAGCCAUUUCAAAGAAUGCUGGAAUGGUCCCACUUCAGAUGGAGCUUGGGCGGAAAGAUGGUCCUAAUCUCUAGUUUUUCAAUCCAACUUUUUGUAUGGUAGUGUUAACAGGUUUUUCCUUCAAUUGCAGGCUAAUAAUUGGUUU